rnacentral:rRNA from 1 species
AGGAUGAACGCUGGCGGCGUGCUUAACACAUGCAAGUCGAACGAUGAAGGCUGGAGCUUGCUCUGGCUGGAUUAGUGGCGAACGGGUGAGUAACACGUGAGUAACCUGCCCCAGACUCUGGGAUAAGCGCUGGAAACGGCGUCUAAUACCGGAUACGAGCUUCCACCGCAUGGUGAGGAGCUGGAAAGAAUUUCGGUCUGGGAUGGACUCGCGGCCUAUCAGCUUGUUGGUGAGGUAAUGGCUCACCAAGGCGACGGCGGGUAGCCGGCCUGGAGAGGGUGACCGGCCACACGUGGGACUGAGACACGGCCCAGGACUCCGUACGGGAGGCAGCAGGUGGGGAAUAGUUGGACAACAACGUGGGACGACGAAGCCUGAUGCAGGCCAACGCCG